GUCCCUGCCCUCCCCUGGAGCUGCUAAUGGCUGAAGUCGAGGGGUGUGGGAAAGGUGCAUCUUAACCGACAUUCUGCGGUUGCCCUAAAAGGUGCCUUUCUUUACCCAUGCUGUGGGGUAGUGAUUUCAGGCUCCCUGCGUCUGGGGAAACUCACUCUGCAUCCCAAACAAGCCCUCUGGGUCUGGAGAUGCAGCCUGGGUACCCGCACCCUCCUCUGUACCGAAAAGAAACAUCACUCUGCAGGUCACAGGGUGACUUCGGCCUUUCCUUUUCCUUUGGGAUGGCCUCAGGUUAAGGUGCAGGGAAAAUCAGUCUGACAGUCGAUUUUCCCACCAGCUAAAAUGAUCAGGAAUUGUGCCUUGUUGAGUGGGACGGAGAGGUGUGCCCACACCUAGGGCAGGAAGGAGUUCAGACAGGAAAUUCAGUACAAACUUCAACUGUGAAUGCAGAGUGACAUCUCCACCCAAGAAAGUAGACCUGCCCAAUGUCAGUCACCCAGACUUGUGGCUGUCGUGUGAAGAGAUGACAGGAGAUGCUAUAAACUAGAAGCAGAAAAUCCAGUUGGGACACUACUACAGAGGGCCAGAACAUGCCUUAUUACGGUACCUCUCACCUUGGGUUGCACUUGCCUUGGCCAUGUUUCCCCGAGUGGACUGGCUGUGAGUUUCCAGAAGGGAGGAAGAAGGACCUUCUUGGAAAUUUGUGUUUAUGAUGGCAGAAAUACUCGGGACUUUACAGGGACAAGACACAGUGCAUUAGAAAAAAAAUCACAUCACUCCAAAAAGACGGGAAUUAAGGGUGGUAUGUGCUGAUCUGUAUGGUGGUGAGUACAGAAAAUAAGGACCAUAGUUUCAGACUUAGACAAGGACAAAGCUUCCGAGCAAUCCAUGUGGCAGAAUAUAAAAUAAAUAUUCAUAAAAUGAACAUAAAUAAGGAGAUAAUUUUUUUAAUCAACUGCAAAAAUAAUAAAAUAACUGGUCAAUGUGUAUGGAUAUAGAAUCUUCCUUAUGAAGAAAGGAUGAUAUUAUCAUAUCAUUAUAACAUCUGUGACUGCUCUUAUUAAAAUUAGAAUCCCCACAUUAACUCAUAAGUUAAAUUUUUAAUAAAAGAUUUGUUUCUCCCACUAAACACAAGCAAUGGUUUUACUGUUAUUUCAAAUGAGAAUAUUUACUGUACUUCAUUGAAUUAGUUCAUCAAAUAGUGACAAAAAUGGUAUAAUGACUUUUUUCUCAUUUUAAAAGAUUGCAGUUACAGUCUUAUAAUGUGUCUUUACAGAUUGCCUUUUGUGCUAGGAAAAAAGCACCUUGUGUUAGUUUCCUAAUAUUUUAAAUAGAGACUACAGGAGUCUCUAUUAAUAGCACCCCGAGGAAAUGGUGAACAUGAAUAAGGUUAUGCAGACAAUCUUUAGUCUGCUAAUUGAAUAACACUUUAGUUCAUCCCAAGUGGUUCCUAGAGACUAUAACAAGUAGCUCAUUUAUUUUUAAUUGCUAAGUUAAUUUCACUUUUAUUUAGGAAAUGACUUCAUAGGGAAAAGUGUUAGGCAGCAAGAAGAGAAAUAAUCAAAUAUGUAAUAAUCUUUAAGGUUCCAUCAGGCACAGGGCGCAUGAUACUAUUUAGAAGAAAUGAAGCCAUUCCUUAAUUUUGGCUUUCAAAUCUAAAGUAUAUUACAUUUGUAAUAAAAAUAAAUAUGCAUCUUUUUAUUUCCAAAUGAGUUAAAUAUAUUUACCUACAGGGCUGUGCAUUGUCGUGAAAGGAGCACUGUGUGUGGCGGUUGCGAUGUUGUUCUGGAAUGGAUCUAGAUCCUGUCUAAAACCAUCCAGCACUGUGAUCUCAGGCUUCCAAGUUAAUGUCACUUUCCCGAUUCCUGAUCCUUAUUCUAGGAAACAGCCUCAAGAAUCUCUGAUGUCCCUGGCCAGUGUGGCUCAGUGACUGAGCAUCGACCUAUGAACCAGGAGGUCACAGUUAGAUCCUGCUCAGGGAACAUGCCCGGGUUGCUGGCUCAAUCCCUAGUGUGGGGAGUGCAGGAGGCAGCCAGUCAAGGAUUCUCUCUCAUCAUUGAUGUUUCUGUCUCUUUCUCCCUGUCCCUUGCUCUCUGAAAUGAAUACAAAUUUAUUUUUUUAAAAAAGAAUCUCGGAUGUACUUCCUAGCUCUACAUUUC